GGUUCCUUGGUGUAGUGGUUAGCACGCCUGCCUCACAAGCAGAGAAGCCUGGGUUCGAUUCCCAGGGGAACCA